AGCAAAUCUCAAAGUCGAUCCUUUUGUUAAUUCAAUUGGUUUGCUUUGGACUUGGAGGCCUUGCAGAUUUCACCGUCUGCUCCUCUUAAAUGCAUUAGCUGGAUCUCAGUAUUAUGCUUGGUUCCACUCGGCGUGAUAAGUAUCACUCGCUGAGGACACUGUAAAAGGUGGCCAGGAAAAUACUGAUCGAACCGCUUCUAACGGUCUAUUAACUUAGACAAUGACCCUUAA
rnacentral:misc_RNA from 1 species